rnacentral:rRNA from 1 species
UACGUAGGGAGCAAGCGUUGUCCGGAAUCAUUGGGCGUAAAGCGCGCGUAGGCGGCUCGAUCAGUCUGUUGUGAAAGUCAAAGGCUCAACCUUUGAAUGCCGAUGGAUACUGUCGAGCUAGAGUCCGGAAGAGGCGGGUGGAAUUCCUGGUGUAGCGGUGGAAUGCGCAGAUAUCAGGAGGAACACCAACGGCGAAGGCAGCCCGCUGGGACGGUACUGACGCUGAGGAGCGAAAGCGUGGGGAGCGAACAGG